CUUAAAACUCAAAGGACUUGGCGGUAUCCCAUUUCGGCCUAGAGGAGCCUGUCCUAUAAUCGACACUCCCCGUUCCACCCAACCUCCACUUGCACAUUCAGCCUAUAUACCGCCGUCGACAGUCUACCCCAUGAGGGCCUUUUAGUAGACACAAUAGCAACAACUCGCUAACACGUCAGGUCAAGGUGUAGCAAAUGUUGAGGAAGAGAUUGGYUACAUUUUUUAUUUCAAAACAAACGAAAUGCAACAUGAAACAUUGCACGAAGGUGAAUUUAGUAGUAAAAUGAAUAAGAGAGUUCAUUUUAACACC
rnacentral:rRNA from 1 species